rnacentral:rRNA from 1 species
CCCAGACUCAUACGGGAGGCAGCAGUGGGGAAUAUUGGACAAUGGGGGCAACCCUGAUCCAGCGAUGCAGUGUGUGUGAAGAAGGCCUGCGGGUUGUAAAGCACUUUCGGUUGGGAAGAAGAUAUUUAGGUGAAUAGCCUAGAUGUUUGACGUUACCGACAUAAGAAGCACCGGCUAACUCUGUGCCAGCAGCCGCGGUAAUACAGAGGGUGCGAGCGUUAAUCGGAAUUAUUGGGCGUAAAGAGCACGUAGGUGGCUGGAUAAGUUGGGUGUGAAAUUCCCGGGCUCAACCUGGGGGUGUCAUUCAAUACUGUUUAGCUAGAGUAGGGAAGAGGGAAGUGGAAUUCUCGGUGUAGCGGUGAAAUGCGUAGAUAUCGGGAGGAACACCAGUGGCGAAGGCGGCUUCCUGGUCCACUACUGACACUCAAGUGCGAAAGCGUGGGGAGCAAACAGGAUUAGAUACCCU